GUUUAACGGCCGCGGUACUUUGACCGUGCGAAGGUAGCGCAAUCACUUGUCUUUUAAAUGGAGACCUGUAUGAAUGGCAUAACGAGGGCUAAGCUGUCUCCUUUCUCCAGUCAAUGAAAUUGAUCUGCCCGUGCAGAAGCGGACAUAAAAACAUAAGACGAGAAGACCCUAUGGAGCUUCAGACACGGCAAACCGUGUUAACAAACCUUAAUGAAAAGACAACCAAACGGCCCUGUCCCCCUGUCUUCGGUUGGGGCGACCGCGGGGAAACAAAAAUCCCCCACGUGGAAAGCUCCCUUUAAAAAAGGGCCACAGCCCUAAUAAACAGAAAAUCUGACCAACAGACCCGGCACAGCCGAUCAACGGACCCAGUUACCCUAGGGAUAACAGCGCAAUCCUCUUUUAGAGCCCAUAUCGACAAGAGGGUUUACGACCUCGAUGUUGGAUCAGGACAUCCUAAUGGUGCAGCCGCUAUUAAGGG
rnacentral:rRNA from 1 species